CUGUGUGUUCAACUAAACAAAAAAAAAUAUGGCGCUUUUCGUGCAGCACAUGUGUGAACGUUUUAGUGUAUCCAUUAGACGAAAGAAAACGUCUCAAAAUGACAUGUUUUUGCACUUGGAAAAGUUGACAAAUGCCACAAGAAUCGAGGAAUAUUUUGAUGAACUAAUGAAGACAGAGAUGUCUGUUCUUCAGUCACUGUGGCUGUCCAUCCAACUGAGCAGAGAUUUCUCAAUCUAUCAAUUUUGAAGCCUAGGAGAGUCUCCAGAAAUCUGCUUUCUCUAUUCAAUCAACGUCCUGAUUUACAGAUGAACUGAUGAUGAAGACCGCAGAGAUGUCCACUUUUCAUUGAUGGAUGGCUGUCCAUCACACUGAGCAGAGAUGUCUCAUCACUGAUGAAGUAUUGGAGAGUCUCUCAUCAGCAGUCUACUUUGACAAAUCAAUCAGUUUCAAAUUUAAAGAUCAAGUGAUCCAAACAGAGGUUGUCAGAUCAUCAGUCAUAGUAGCUCUCCGUGUCGCACAGAUGCUGAAUAUCCAGUUAUCUGCGUUUUCUCAGAUCAACUAAUCCAGACAGUUGAGAGUGUCUGAUCUUCAUUCAUAGUGGGAGUACCUCGGCCUUGAAUAAUCAAUCAAAUUUAAAGGUCAACUAAAUCCAGACAGAGAGUGUUGGAUAUUCUCAAGGAGUUUGCGGCCCAUCAUACAACCAUCAGCAUCGAUGCCUCAACCUGUUUGUAUAGUUUGUAAUUAGUUGUAGAUUACAGGUGUAGAUUUUAGGUUGUUAAUUGUGUGGUGAAUUGUUCACACUUUCCAUUGUGUUUAGAAUUGAUCACACUUUCCCCUGUGAAAUUCUGCACUUCCCCUGUGUUUUUAAUUUCUUGCACACCUAACUUGUGUUGUGAAUUUCUUCCACUUCCAUUGUGGUGAGUUGCUCAUACUUUCACCUUGUGUCGUGAAUUAUCAAGUUUAUAAACUGAAACGUUGUCUAGGGCUGAGUUGGAAGAAUGUUUCGCUAUCUGUUCUAGCACAUUCAUUCUAUGUAGAUGUAUGCUGAUGUAUGGAGUUGACAAACUUGGUUGCCAUAUAGUGGAGCCGGUAUGGGAAUUUUUCCCCACAGGGGUUUUUGCCCAUCUCACAUAUCAGCAAUUAGCAGGCAUGCAAUAACUGAUUUGUAUGGUUUUGGUUUCACAGCCAUAAACAAAAAAUUCAAAAACACAGCACAAAACAUUGCUGUGCUUGGAAUUCUGGAAAUGUCAAAUCUUUUAUCAAAAUAUAGUGUUGCAUGACUGAAAUAGGAGACACUUUAGUGUCUAAAUUCUUAGGAGUCAAGCAAAAUUUGACUGUUUAUUUAUUAGUUUAAUAUUUUGGUAGAUCAUUCAACGUUUCGGGUGUGCCAGGGUGCGUCACACUGCCUUUGUGUGUUGAGUACAUACACUUUCCCUUGUGUUACUCCGAGUUGCUCACACUU